rnacentral:rRNA from 1 species
CCCUUAGAUGUUCUGGGCUGCACGCGCGCUACACUGGUGCACUCAACAAGUUUACAACCUUGAUCGAUAGGUCUGGGUAAUCUUUUGAAUAUGCACCGUGCUAGGGAUAGAUUAUUGCAAUUAUUAAUCUUGAACGAGGAAUUCCUAGUAAAUGCAAGUCAUCAGCUUGCGUUGAUUACGUCCCUGCCCUUUGUACACACCGCCCGUCGCACCUACUGAUUGAACGUUUUAGUGAGGUACUCGGACUGAGCCUCAGAAGAUUCACGUCUUUUGUGCUGCUCGGGAAGAUUCCCAAACUUGAGCGUUUAGAGGAAGUAAAAGUCGUAACA